AUCUACGCCCAUCCCACCCUGAACGUGCCCGAUCCCGUCUGAUCUCGGAAGCAAAGCAGGGUAGGCCUGGUUAGUACUUGGAUGGGAGACCACCUAGGAAGACCAGGUGCUGUAGGUU
rnacentral:rRNA from 1 species